rnacentral:tRNA from 3 species
GCGGACGUGGCGAAAUUGGCAUACGCACUGGCUUUAGGUGCCAGCGCCGCAAGGCAUGGGGGUUCGAGUCCCCCCGUCCGCA